UGGGGAAUAUUGGACAAUGGACCACAAGUCUGAUCCAGCAAUUCUGUGUGCACGAUGACGUUUUUCGGAAUGUAAAGUGCUUUCAGUCGGGAAGAAGUCAGUGACGGUACCGACAGAAGAAGCGACGGCUAAAUACGUGCCAGCAGCCGCGGUAAUACGUAUGUCGCAAGCGUUAUCCGGAUUUAUUGGGCGUAAAGCGCGUCUAGGCGGCAAGGAAAGUCUGAUGUGAAAAUGCGGAGCUCAACUCCGUAUGGCGUUGGAAACUGCCUUACUAGAGUACUGGAGAGGUAGGCGGAACUACAAGUGUAGAGGUGAAAUUCGUAGAUAUUUGUAGGAAUGCCGAUGGGGAAGCCAGCCUACUGGACAGAUACUGACGCUAAAGCGCGAAAGCGUGGGUAGCAAACAGGAUUAGAUACCCUGGUAGUCCACGCUGUAAACGAUGAUUACUAGGUGUUGGGGGUCAAACCUCAGCGCCCAAGCUAACGCGAUAAGUAAUCCGCCUGGGGAGUACGUACGCAAGUAUG
rnacentral:rRNA from 1 species